CCGCGGGACUGCUCCACCGAAGUCCCCCUCGUAGGGCCCGUGUCUCACAUGCCGCCUCCCUCCGCACCGCAUUGGGUCAUUUUGGUUUGAGCAUAUGUACCAGAAAGAUGUAAUAUGCCAGAGACUAUUCUUGGCACUGAGAAUGCAGCAUUGGAUAAAGGAGACAAAACAAACAAAGAGGAAGGGAAAAGGAGAGAGUUAGAAACAUCAAU